rnacentral:rRNA from 1 species
UGGGGAAUAUUGCACAAUGGGCGCAAGCCUGAUGCAGCAACGCCGCGUGAGGGAUGACGGCCUUCGGGUUGUAAACCUCUUUUAGUAGGGAAGAAGCGAAAGUGACGGUACCUGCAGAAAAAGCACCGGCUAACUACGUGCCAGCAGCCGCGGUAAUACGUAGGGUGCGAGCGUUGUCCGGAAUUAUUGGGCGUAAAGAGCUCGUAGGCGGUCUGUCGCGUCUGCUGUGAAAACCCGAGGCUCAACCUCGGGCCUGCAGUGGGUACGGGCAGACUAGAGUGCGGUAGGGGAGAAUGGAAUUCCUGGUGUAGCGGUGGAAUGCGCAGAUAUCAGGAGGAACACCGAUGGCGAAGGCAGUUCUCUGGGCCGUAACUGACGCUGAGGAGCGAAAGCGUGGGGAGCGAACAGGAUUAGAUACCCUGGUAGUCCACGCCGUAAACGUUGGGCGCUAGAUGUGGGGACCAUUCCACGGUUUCCGUGUCGCAGCUAACGCAUUAAGCGCCCGCCUGGGGAGUACGGCCGCAAU